rnacentral:rRNA from 1 species
AAUGAACGCUGGCGGCAUGCCUAACACAUGCAAGUCGAACGAGACCUUCGGGUCUAGUGGCGCACGGGUGCGUAACGCGUGGGAACCUGCCCUUAGGUUUGGCAUACCUCCCCGAAAGGGGUGCUAAUACCGGAUCAUGUCUUCGGACCAAAGAUUUAUCGCCUUUGGAUGGGCCCGAGUUGGAUUAGCUCGUUGGUAGGGUAAAAGCCUACCAAGGCGACGAUCCAUAGCUGGUCUGAGAGGCUGGUCAGCCACACUGGGACUGGGACACGGCCCAGACUCCUACGGGAGGGAGGAAUGGGGAAAAUUGGACAAUCGGCGAAAGCCUGAUCCAGCAAUGCCGCGUGAGUGAUGAAGGCCUUAGGGUUGUAAAGCUCUAUUACCCGGGAUGAUAAUGACAGUACCGGGAGAAUAAGCUCCGGCUAACUCCGUG